rnacentral:rRNA from 1 species
CCUACGGGAGGCAGCAGUGAGGAAUAUUGGUCAAUGGACGAGAGUCUGAACCAGCCAAGUAGCGUGAAGGAUGACUGCCCUAUGGGUUGUAAACUUCUUUUAUAUGGGAAUAAAACGUUCCACGUGUGGGAUUUUGUAUGUACCAUAUGAAUAAGGAUCGGCUAACUCCGUGCCAGCAGCCGCGGUAAUACGGAGGAUCCGAUCGUUAUCCGGAUUUAUUGGGUUUAAAGGGAGCGUAGGUGGAUUGUUAAGUCAGUUGUGAAAGUUUGCGGCUCAACCGUAAAAUUGCAGUUGAAACUGGCAGUCUUGAGUACAGUAGAGGUGAGCGGAAUUCGUGGUGUAGCGGUGAAAUGCUUAGAUAUCACGAAGAACUCCGAUUGCGAAGGCAGUUCACUGGACUGCAACUGACACUGAGGCUCGAAAGUGUGGGUAUCAAACAGGAUUAGAUACCCGAGUAGUC